rnacentral:lncRNA from 1 species
GAACUUUAACAUGGUAUCUAGAGCUUGUUUCGAUCCACCUUAAAUCACCGGUUCUUUCCGCUGUCAAAUUCUCAAAAGUUUGAGAAUGUAUUUGGUUUGAUCUUUGAUGAUUUGUUCUUUCCCUGGGUUAGUUCUUUCUCUUAUUGUUGGUCAAUUUUUCAAGUGGGUAUUGUCUUUGCUGGUAUUUGUGAAUUCUGUGUGCCGUCGUCUAUUAUUGCUUGGAAGAAACAAAUUGGUUAUUACUUCUUUUUUGAUGGGUUUUGAAUUUUAUUGGUGGAUAUUUGCAACGUUCAUCCACGUUUUGAAUUUUAGUGACAGGAGAAGUGAAUUUAUUUGGGAGUUUAUUGCAAGUUCUGUUGUGAAUUUCCUCUCUCGGCUUGUUUGAUAUGCUUGAUAAUGUUGGUUGCGGCUGUGUCGUCAAUUUCAUUUGGUGUGGUCUUUUUUUGGUUUUGUUGUUGUUUAUUCAAUUGGUAUUUGAUUUAAAUCCUCUCUAUUGAGUUGGAUUGGUAUGAUUGAUUUAAUUUGGUUCAGUUCCAUUCGAUUUGGUUUUGUUUCUGUUUUGUUUGGUUAUGCUUCGCUUCUUGCGGUUUGGUUUGGUUUGUCAUGACUGUUUUUUUUGUUUGGUUCUGUUGGGUGAGUUAAGAUAAUACUCGCAAUCUGUCUGUCCGGUGAGCGAAUACUCACAAUUUGAAAUUUGAAUCCGGUGAGGGAAUACUCACAUUGAAUCCAGUGAGGGAAUACUCACAUUGAAUCCGGUGAGGGAAUACUCACAAUUUGAAAUUUGAAUCCGGUGAGCGAAUACUCACAAUUUGAAAUUUGAAUCCGGUGAGGGAAUACUCACAUUGAAUCCGGUGAGGGAAU